AUUGAACGCUGGCGGCAGGCCUAACACAUGCAAGUCGAGCGGAUGAAGGGAGCUUGCUCCUGGAUUCAGCGGCGGACGGGUGAGUAAUGCCUAGGAAUCUGCCUGGUGGUGGGGGAUAACGUCCGGAAACGGGCGCUAAUACCGCAUACGUCCUGAGGGAGAAAGUGGGGGAUCUUCGGACCUCACGCUAUCAGAUGAGCCUAGGUCGGAUUAGCUAGUUGGUGGGGUAAAGGCCUACCAAGGCGACGAUCCGUAACUGGUCUGAGAGGAUGAUCAGUCACACUGGAACUGAGACACGGUCCAGACUCCUACGGGAGGCAGCAGUGGGGAAUAUUGGACAAUGGGCGAAAGCCUGAUCCAGCCAUGCCGCGUGUGCGAAGAAGGUCUUCGGAUUGUAAAGCACUUUAAGUUGGGAGGAAGGGCAGUAAGUUAAUACCCUGCUGUUUUGACGUUACCAACAGAAUAAGCACCGGCUAACUUCGUG
rnacentral:rRNA from 1 species